GUGCUGCCAGUGGCUACGAUUGCUGAUCGUGCUUGCUGCUGCUGCUGCUGCUGCUGCUGCUGCCGGUGAUAGUGCUGGUGGUGGUAGUGCUAGCAGUGGUGGUGGUGCUGCUGGUGGUGGUGGUAGUACUAAUGGUGGUGGUGGUGCACCGGCGCAUCGAGUACCUCUGAUACACGAUGCAGCAUAUCUCUCUCGAAUGGAAGGAAAAAAAUAAAAUAAAAAAAUAAAAAAAAUAAAAAUAAAAAAACAAACAAAGAAAGAUUGAAAUCGAACAUAGAAAUGAAUCCACAAGGUAUCUCUAACUCGUAGAAAGAUAGAUAAA
rnacentral:lncRNA from 1 species